GUGAAUCAUCGAAUUUUUGAACGCAAAUUGCGCUUCCUUGCAUCCCGGGAAGUAUGCCGGGUUGAGGGUCAGUAUUAAUAAAAAAGCGGCUGAGUUACAAUUUGUGUCGGUUCCAGAGGUUGGACUAUCUUAACAUUGUUGUUUGAGAGGCUUAAAAUUGACCUUGUUUGCGCAUUUUUUUACGUGCAUAAAUUUUUUUCAUUCGUCUAUUCUUAAUGCCAUACUCUUAUUAGAUACGAGCACAU
rnacentral:misc_RNA from 1 species